AAGUACAUUUUACAGCAAACUUGCCGUCCAUAAUUUUCUCCCUAGGUGCAAAAAAAUAAAUAAAAAAUGAAUUAAGAGGUUUGCCAUGAAUGUUGUUUCCAGCUCAAGAGCUGUUUAUCUCCUGAAUUCAACCUUCAACCUUAAAUGACGAUAAUUACUCACAAAUUGGACAAUUUUAGACCAAAAAAUGUAACAAGGAAAUCACAGUGUGGGAAAACUGACGGAUCACUGUAUAAGGCUCUUGGUUGCAGUUCAAACCCCAGUAUCACCAACCAGCCACUCUUGAACAAGCCCCUUUAAACCUCUUUGCUCCAGAGGAUUUGUAUCAGGGCUGACCCUGUACUUUGACCAUAGCUUUCUAACAUUGCUGGGAUAUGUGAAGAAAGACGUUCACUAUACUUUAAUGUAUAUGUGUAGUAAAAGUCACUUUAGCCACUAACAUAUUUGUUGAAUGCUUGUUACAGGCGUUCAUUAUCUUCUUAAGUGCUUUGUAUUCUCCUGGCUGCAGUAGUAGAAGGUUGUCUCCAGCUAUCACUAGGUUUUUUAACAAUAGGCUACCCUGGAUUAUACAAGGGCUUCGCACAGUUGCCAUCUUUCUGUCAAGCAGAUCUUCUGUCCAAAAUUGGACAAUAUUAAUUUACCCCUCUUAGCCAGGCAACUUGUGCCUGUAGGUUUGGCCACUUAUAAUAAAUCACCUUUCAAGGACUGAAUCCUGCAAUCCAGAAAACUAAAUAAGAGCAUAAAAUCCUGGUCAGCGAUGGUGUGGAUGAAGACUCAUGGAGACAGGCAGCAUUGA